GCGGCGGCAGCAAAGAGGCUGGAUUUUAAUGCUAAGACUGUUGCUGCUGCUUCAAUUACUAAUUUUAAUGCUAAGACCGUCCAAAAAUCAACCGGAAACCACUACAACAUCAGCGCCGGAGCUUGGAAUCAGAAUGGCGAUACUCCUCUCACUCCCAAAAUUCAGAGCAGUUGCCUAUUCCUUCUAAUUUCCGACAAGGUUUCACGCAGCCAAUCCCCCAUUUUCUCCUCUAAUUUCCAGAAUCAAAAUCGGCGAUACUUCUCUUCAAAAUUAAAAUCACACGCCCACACUAAUACGACGCACAUUUCACGCCGUCGAUUCCCCUUUUCUCCUCCUUUAUCGGCGGAGAGCGCCGCCGCUAAUGGCUAAGAUUGAGGGAGCUAGGGUUUUCGAUUUGGGGAUUGAUAAACGCGGUAUUAAAAUGACGUCGUUUUGUGCCACGUCGUUUGAAUUAAUGACGUGUCACAUACGCGUGGCAUGUUUGAAGACACGUCAUCUUUCCGGCUGCCGGAGCUCAAUUUUAAGGAAAAUUUGGAACAAAUGCAAAGUUCAUGAUUAAAAAUGUAAGUUUCAAAAGUCAUGUGCAAAAUGAAAUUGCGACUAAAGUUCGUGUAUUUUCAUGCAAUUAACC
rnacentral:lncRNA from 1 species